GCAUUUUUGGAAUUCUGCACAUCUGAUCCCAGAAUGGAUUGGCUCCCAAACAUAGCAGAUCGUAUCUUUUCUGAGUGCAAACAAAUGGAAUCGUCGAAAUUACUCCACUCUUUUUUUUUCUUUUUUCUCCUUACAAGACACGGAAAAUCCAUCCGACGAAUUAAAAUCAAGAAGAAAAGGAAGCACAGAAGGUCCCCGACAGAGCUUUCAGUAAUAAUCAUUGUUCCCACAGAGAAAGUACAUUAUACCUUCUCACAGUAAACUUCAACUGGAAGUAACAAAUAAACAGCUUAUUUGCAGAACCAAGCGAGCAAGAGGUCGAGAACAGGUGAUUCCACAUUAUUUAUCUUCCUGGGAAUCCUCUUGACUCGGGCGCAUCCGCCGAGGGAACGUUAUUCGUGCCUGGGAUUCCGACGCCGCACCUGAGCUGCUCUGCUGUGGAAUGUAAUGGGCACUGACGCUGGUUUAAUGAGUGCGUGUACACCCAGGGCCAAAUGCAAUUACAUGCUCUCACAAGCAAGCAUCACCGGGGGAAAAAAAAUAAUAACCAGAGCGAGAAAGAGUGAGACGGAUAGCUGUGAACAGCCACGAUUCCUGCUGCUGAUUAUUUAUCGGACAUA